CGCGGGCCUAUCAGCUUGUUGGCGGGGUAACGGCCCACCAAGGCGACGACGGGUAGCUGGUCUGAGAGGACGGCCAGCCACACUGGGACUGAGACACGGCCCAGACUCCUACGGGAGGCAGCAGUGGGGAAUCUUGCGCAAUGGGCGAAAGCCUGACGCAGCGACGCCGCGUGGGGGAUGAAGGCCCUCGGGUUGUAAACCCCUUUCGGCAGGGACGAAGCGAAAGUGACGGUACCUGCAGAAGAAGCUCCGGCUAACUACCUGCCAGCAGCCGCGGUAAGACGUAGGGAGCGAGCGUUGUCCGGAUUUAUUGGGCGUAAAGCGCGCGUAGGCGGCCGUGCAAGUCGGUUGUGAAAUUCCGGGGCUCAACCCCGGGACUGCGUCCGAUACUGUGCGGCUCGAGGCAGGCAGGGGAGAGUGGAAUUCCCGGUGUAGCGGUGAUAUGCGCAGAUAUCGGGAGGAACACCGGUGGCGAAGGCGGCUCUCUGGGCCUGUCCUGACGCUCAGGCGCGAAAGCUAGGGGAGCGAACAGGAUUAGAUACCCUGGUAGUCCUAGCCGUAAACGUUGGGCGCUAGGUGUGGGGAGAUAUCGACCCUUUCCGUGCCGAAGCUAACGCAUUAAGCGCCCCGCCUGGGGAGUACGG
rnacentral:rRNA from 1 species